rnacentral:ncRNA from 1 species
GCUUGAGAAGGGCAAACCGUCUGAAAAGGCGGGACGCAAAGUUACUGGCCUAAGUCUUUUAUAAAGAGGAUAAGGUGGCAGAACUGCCGGG